UGUCUGCAGGAUGCACUUCUCAGAUCAAAAGGAAAGGGAGGGCAAAGGACGAGCUGCAGUGUUUAUACUGGAAAGAACAGCACAAAGCCAUUGGCAAGCAGAGCUGUUGUCCAUUUUCCUCCUUCCACACGAUGACCUAAGUCGGAACAGGUUCUCGGGCCAACUCUGCCAAGGAAUACCACGCCUGCCACACCUCCUGCCUCAGUAGAGAACCACUUCAAGAGACAGACGGAAGGAUAAGACUUUACAGUUUGAAACUCUGGCUUAGAAUUCACCUAUUCCCUUCCAUCAAGACUUCAAGCAAAGGACAAGAAAGUUAGCAUCCAACUCAGCGUUCCUCAGCACUUCCCAGCAGUAGAGCCGCCGAGGCUGGCCACCGAGAGGCUAACGGAACCCAGGACCGCAGGACCAGCUCGCCUCACCUCAGCGCCCUACCCGAGUGAAACGACACCUGCUACUUGGAAACUCAUCCAGCAUCGCCCCCAACCCCAGCAAUAAACUGCUCAACUGUGACCAUGGGGAAUGAACGGCAGAUGCUUCUCACAGACUGACCAGUCUUCCCUUUU